AAAAUACUGCCACCGGGCAGGAAAUGCAAAAAAAGCAUUCGUGCGCGCAUCGUUAGGUCUUUGAAGAUGCGUGGACGGGUGCUUUCUUUUU
rnacentral:ncRNA from 1 species